GAUGAAGAACGCAGCGAAAUGCGAUAAGUAAUGUGAAUUGCAGAAUUCAGUGAAUCAUCAAAUCUUUGAACGCACAUUGCGCCCGCCAGUAUUCUGGCGGGCAUGCCUGUUCGAGCGUCAUUACAACCCUCAGGCCCCCGGGCCUGGCGUUGGGGAUCGGCGGAAGCCCCCUGUGGGCACACGCCGUCCCUCAAAUACAGUGGCGGUCCCGCCGCAGCUUCCAUUGCGUAGUAGCUAACACCUCGCAACUGGAGAGCGGCGCGGCCAUGCCGUAAAACACCCAACUUCUGAAUGUUGACCUCGAAUCAGGUAGGAAUACCCGCUGAACUUAAGCAUAUCAAUAAGCGGAGGA
rnacentral:misc_RNA from 1 species